rnacentral:rRNA from 1 species
CGUGCAGGCGGCUUUGUAAGUUGGCUGUGAAAUCUCCCGGCUCAACUGGGAGGGGACGGUCAAGACUGCGAGGCUGGAGGCAGGUAGAGGGAGGUGGAAUUCCCGGUGUAGUGGUGAAAUGCGUAGAGAUCGGGAGGAACACCAGUGGCGAAAGCGGCCUCCUGGACCUGUCCUGACGCUGAGACGCGAAAGCUAGGGGAGCAAACGGGAUUAGAAACCCCGGUAGUCCUAGCCGUAAACGAUGUCGACUAGGCGGCGGUGGGGUAAAAGCCAUCGGUGCCGCAGCUAACGCGAUAAGUCGACCGCCUGGGGACUACGGCCGCAAGGUUAAA